rnacentral:rRNA from 1 species
CAACCAAAGCUGGCGACCGGCGCACGGGUGAGUAACACGUAUCCAACCUGCCUCAUACUCGGGGAUAGCCUUUCGAAAGGAAGAUUAAUAUCCGAUAGCAUAUAUUUCCCGCAUGGGUUUUAUAUUAAAGAAAUUCGGUAUGAGAUGGGGAUGCGUUCCAUUAGUUUGUUGGGGGGGUAACGGCCCACCAAGACUACGAUGGAUAGGGGUUCUGAGAGGAAGGUCCCCCACAUUGGAACUGAGACACGGUCCAA